AUCCAACUGAAGAGUCCCAAAAAUAGAAUGAAACGCGCGUCCUGGAU
rnacentral:hammerhead_ribozyme from 1 species